rnacentral:lncRNA from 1 species
GUGGAAACAGGCCUGGUCUGGUUACCCACCGUGGAGAUGAUGGAUUGACGGCUCACUUACGGGAAAGGCCGGGGGCCUUCGAGUAAACAAGUGCAGAGCUGCAUUAAAUAUGAAGGAGGGAAAGGAAAACACGCGCUACCUUUCGGCGGCGACCGAUUCGACAGGAAAUCUGACGAGAAUCUUGAUGAGAAUCAACAAAAAACAGUUGAAUCUUGAGCUUGGAUCUGCCAUCUGAGGGAUCUUGAAGUCAUUAAGUCUCAAACAUCAUCCCCGCUGCUCCGACCGUGCUCCUCCGUCCUCUUGGAUUUGGUUCUGAUAUCAAGACUCUCGCACUGCAUGGGAAUACCCAAGGUCAGCCCGUGAACCCCAACUGGAUCCACAGAACGUGUUUGGAUAGGUGCACGUCAGAGCCUGAGACACGGACAGUUUGAUGGGAACCAUCAUAUAUAUUGCAUUCUUCGGGAGAUAGUGGCUCAGUACUGUGUGUGAUGUGGACAAAUAUCUCAGGCCUGGAUCUGCUCUGGGGUCAGAAUUUCAUUCCAAAGUGUAUAAAGAUUUGUAUCUCUUGGCAGUGCCUCUCUUUCAAUUCAAUAAUUGUAUAAUUUGUGCAUGUUAAUAAUAACAGCCUGUUGCAUGGUCCACCAAAAACAAGAACAGGACAGUAAAAAGAGAGCAACCUUUUGCAUUCCUGCCAAUUCC